GUGGGGAAUCUUCCGCAAUGGACGAAAGUCUGACGGAGCGACGCCGCGUGAGUGAAGAAGGCCUUCGGGUCGUAAAGCUCUGUCAUCAGGGACGAAUGGCCGGUGGAGUGGAAAGCCACCGGAUUGACGGUACCUGAGAAGGAAGCCACGGCUAACUACGUGCCAGCAGCCGCGGUAAUACGUAGGUGGCAAGCGUUGUCCGGAAUUAUUGGGCGUAAAGCGCGCGCAGGUGGGAUCUUAAGUCCAUUUUGAAAGUUCGGAGCUCAACUCCGUGAUGGGAUGGAAACUGGGAUUCUUGAGUACCGGAGAGGAAAGCGGAAUUCCCCGUGUAGCGGUGAAAUGCGUAGAUAUGGGGAGGAACACCAGUGGCGAAGGCGGCUUUCUGGACGGUGUCUGACACUGAGGCGCGAAAGCUAGGGGAGCGAACGGGAUUAGAAACCCCUGUAGUCC
rnacentral:rRNA from 1 species